CAGCCGCCGCGGGAAUACGGAGGGUGCGAGCGUUAAUCGGAAUUACUGGGCGUAAAGCGUACGCAGGCGGUUUGUUAAGUCAGAUGUGAAAUCCCCGAGCUUAACUCGGGAACUGCAUUUGAAACUGGCAGGCUAGAGUCUCGUAGAGGGGGGUAGAAUUCCAGGUGUAGCGGUGAAAUGCGUAGAGAUCUGGAGGAAUACCGGUGGCGAAGGCGGCCCCCUGGACGAAGACUGACGCUCAGGUACGAAAGCGUGGGGAGCAAACAGGAUUAGAUACCCCGGUAGUCCCUGUCUCUUAUAC
rnacentral:rRNA from 1 species